rnacentral:rRNA from 1 species
AUGCCUAUAGUAGAAGAACUGCUUGACGAGCUGGCCGGGGCAGCUUGGUUCACCAAAUUGGAUUUGCUGGCGGGUUAUCAUCAGGUCCGGGUGGCGGAAGGGGAUGAAUACAAAACAGCGUUCCGGACACAUCAUGGGCUAUACGAGUUCCUAGUAGUUCCCUUUGGCUUGUCAGAAGCUCCCGCAACAUUUCAAGGGGUAAUGAAUACGGCUGUAGCACCGACAUUUCGGGAAGGAGUUGUCGUGUUCAUGGACGAUAUAUUGGUGUUUAGCAAGACACUUCGAGAACACAUUGCAAAGCUGAGGUCAGUUCUACAGCUCCUGCGCGAUAACCACCUGGUGCUUAAGCAGUCCAAGUGUGAAUUUGCCAAGCCUCAAAUUGCAUAUCUUGGUCAUGUAAUCAGUGCAGCAGGGGUGUCCACCGAUCAAACAAAGGUAGCAGCUGUCAAGCAGUGGCCUGUGCCAACCACAGUACGCGCAUUGCGGGGAUUCUUGGGCCUUACCGGCUAUUAUCGAAGGUUUAUUCCGCACUACGGGGUAAUCAGCAGGCCUCUGACCGAUUUACUCAAAAAGGGAGUUACCUUUCAAUGGACUCCGGUCACUGACAAGGCGUUCCAACUGCUUAAAACAGCCAUGAUUCAAGCACCAGUCUUGGCUGUCCCUGAUUUCAAUCAAACCUUUGUCGUGGAAACAGAUGCCUGCAAGGAUGGGGUGGGUGCAGUCCUAAUGCAACAAGGGCAUCCCAUAGCUUACCUCAGCAAAGCUCUCUCUCACAAGAACAAGGCUCUCAGCACUUAUGAGAAGGAAUGUCUCGCAAUCUUGAUGGCAGUAGACAAGUGGAGACCCUACUUACAACAUCAACACUUUGUCAUUCGUAUGGAUCAACAGGCCCUCUUGCACCUGACAGAGCAACGUUUGAGUACAGGGAUUCAGCAUAAAGCAUUUGUUAAGCUUAUGGGGCUCAAUUAUACAAUCCAGUAUAAGAAAGGGAUCACCAAUGCUGCAGCUGAUGCGCUGUUGCGCCGCGAGCACGACGUUCCCUUGCUGGCCAUAUCAGCGGCCAUCCCCUCGUGGUUGGAGACACUGGUGGACAGCUAUUCCGAGGAUCCGGCUGAUCAAAAACUGCUACAGGAGCUGUCACUGACCACACCCAAUGAUCGAGGCUACUCACUGGAUAAUGGAGUGAUCCGUUACAAGAACCGUAUUUGGGUGGGUCACAAUCUUCUGGCUCAACAACACAUACUGCAGUCCCUGCAUGCCAGCGCGCUGGGCGGGCACUCCGGGGUAUUGGCCACGUACCAACGCAUGAAGAAGUUAUUUGCGUGGCCAAAAUUGAAGCAGUCAGUUACUACCUUUGUGCAAAGUUGUGACACCUGCCAGCGGGCUAAGACAGAGCACUGCCGCAAGCCAGGCCUUCUUCAGCCACAUGAGAUUCCUCCUCACCCUUGGCACACGAUCAGUUGGGAUUUCGUUGAGGGUUUGCCAUCUUCACAGGGUUAUCAAGUCAUCCUCGUGGUCAUUGACAAGUUCACAAAAUUUGCACACUUUCUGCCCCUAAAACACCCAUACACGGCGCUGCAAGUUGCGCAAGUAUUCUUCAAUCAAGUCUACCGACUGCACGGUAUGCCUACUCGCAUUAUCUCCGACCGCGACCCGGUGUUCACCUGUUUGUUUUGGCAAGAACUAUUCAGACUGUCUGACACGAUCCUGAAUAUGAGCUCGGCCCGACACCCGGAGACUGACGGUCAGACUGAACGGUUGAACCAGUGCUUGAAGGCCUUCCUGCGCUGCUCCACGCAUGACGCGCCAGCCAAGUUGGCAAAAUGGCUCUCAUUGGCAGAACAUUGGUAUAAUACCACCUAUCAUACUUCAGCCGGCAUCACCCCGUUCGAAGCCUUGUAUGGUUAUCAACCUCGUCCGUUUGGUAUCACUACACCAGCCACGAGUGGCGAUCUGCAGGAGCUGAUCGAUGAGCGUGCCUCCAUGACUGAACUUCUCCGGCAGCACUUACAAAGAGCUCAGCAUCGCAUGAAGGCACAGGUGGAUAAAAGCCGGAGCGAGCGCUCCUUCCAGGUAGGCGACCGAGUUUUCCUCAAAGUCCAACCAUACUUGCAAAAUUCCCUUGCUGCUCGUCGUAAUCAGAAGCUAGCUCUGAAGUACUAUGGACCUUACACCGUGCUGAGCCGUAUUGGGGCAGUUGCAUACAAACUGGACUUGCCAGCCAGCUCUAGGAUUCACAAUGUCAUACACGUCUCACAGCUCAAGAAGCAAGUACCUCCCAAGGCCACUGUAGAGUCAGAUAUCAGUGUGACGACUCCGCGGUCGCUAUGUCUUCUUCAACCAGCAGCAGUGGUGAAAACAAGACUCAUUCAGCGAGGCGGCAAGCUCACACCUCGCCUCAAGGUACGUUGGUCAGGCCGCUCUGCAGAUCAUGAUUCCUGGGAGGAGGCAUAUCUGCUACAUCGCCGAUUCCCUGCUUUGCCGGCUUGGGGUCAAGCCGCGCCGCAAGGAGUGGGGAAUGUUAUGUGGUGGCCCAGCCCAGGACGGCGGCCCAAGGCCUCCCGACGCAAUCGCCAGCUGGACAGGGCCUGGCGAGCCCAGCAAGGUGCCCAGCGCGGAGAAGCAACGAGAUAG